AGCAAUGAUGUGCCAGGAGAGCAGGGGGAGGGGAGCAAUUUUCCUCCUCUCCCCCCUCUCCUGGCGCAUCAUUGCU
rnacentral:pre_miRNA from 11 species